rnacentral:rRNA from 1 species
GUCGAGGGGCAGCAUGGUCUUAGCUUGCUAAGGCUGAUGGCGACCGGCGCACGGGUGAGUAACACGUAUCCAACCUGCCGUCUACUCUUGGCCAGCCUUCUGAAAGGAAGAUUAAUCCAGGAUGGGAUCAUGAGUUCACAUGUCCGCAUGAUUAAAGGUAUUUUCCGGUAGACGAUGGGGAUGCGUUCCAUUAGAUAGUAGGCGGGGUAACGGCCCACCUAGUCAACGAUGGAUAGGGGUUCUGAGAGGAAGGUCCCCCACAUUGGAACUGAGACACGGUCCAAACUCCUACGGGAGGCAGCAGUGAGGAAUAUUGGUCAAUGGGCGAUGGCCUGAACCAGCCAAGUAGCGUGAAGGAUGACUGCCCUAUGGGUUGUAAACUUCUUUUAUAAAGGAAUAAAGUCGGGUAUGCAUACCCGUUUGCAUGUACUUUAUGAAUAAGGAUCGGCUAACUCCGUGCCAGCAGCCGCGGUAAUACGGAGGAUCCGAGCGUUAUCCGGAUUUAUUGGGUUUAAAGGGAGCGUAGAUGGAUGUUUAAGUCAGUUGUGAAAGUUUGCGGCUCAACCGUAAAAUUGCAGUUGAUACUGGAUGUCUUGAGUGCAGUUGAGGCAGGCGGAAUUCGUGGUGUAGCGGUGAAAUGCUUAGAUAUCACGAAGAACUCCGAUUGCGAAGGCAGCCUGCUAAGCUGCAACUGACAUUGAGGCUCGAAAGUGUGGGUAUCAAACAGGA